UUGGAGCCUAUCCUGGCUCUCCCUCUGGAGACCAGGCUGGCUUUGAACUCACAGAGAUCCGCCUGCCUUGCCUCCCGAGUGCUGGGACUAAAGGCGUGCGCCACCACUGCCCGGCUCUUACCGACUCUUACUAUUAUUAUUGACUCUCUUAUUGAGUGCUAGGCCUACGGUAUGGUUACGCGCCCUGCAGGGAGUGGUGCGCCUUACAGCCCAGGCGGCGGAGAGUCCAAGCAAAGCCGUGCUAUUUAUUCUAAAGGGACAGGCUGGUACCGACGGUGGGUUCCUGCCGCCAAAACUGCGUAGACGCGGGUAGGCCAGAAAGAAAGGAGUUUGAGGAAAUGCCGAAGACAUGCAGUAGGGGAGGCGUCUCCGAGGUGACAUUUCUGAAAAGGAUGCGCGGGGCGGAGGGAACAACAGGUGCAAAGGAAGGCGUCCAGGUUCGCUGGGAGAAGAGAAAAGGAACGCCAGUCUGGGUGAAGAUUCUAGACUAGAGAAGGUGAAUUAAGAGAAGGAGGCCUUCACUAGGAUGGCAGAUAUGGUGGAUGGAUGGAGCCUUGCCCAAGAUCCUGAAGGUGACAGCCCUGUACUGCCUUCUUCAUAUUUCAUGAAUGGCUAAAAAUAAACUUCUGUUUUAAACCAGU